UACUGCGCGCUCACACUGCAGCAACUGUGAGUGUGAGGAAGACAAUGAGUGAGACAAACAAUGCGUUAAAAUGUGCCACUGCCAAACAACACAGGAUAGGAUCAACAACACAUCUCGACAGAAACCAACCGUAUGGAUGCUCGCUAUCCAUAUAGGCCUUUGAUCUCCUGUUCACACUCAUAGUUCAUGGAUGAAGAACAAUCCAAAUCUGCAAAUGGGAACAGAAAUUCGCACAUGGGCAUGUAUAGAUUGAAAACAAUUCACAUGUGAAAAUCUUUACAUUACAACAAUUAACGGGUGGAUAUCCGAAAGUGCCGGGGAUGAGAGACGUCAAACGAAAUUGCGUGACUGAGGUGUGCCAGAUGAAUGCACGGGGC